GGAAUAUUGGACAAUGGGCGAAAGCCUGAUCCAGCCAUGCCGCGUGUGUGAAGAAGGUCUUCGGAGUGUAAAGCACUUUAAGUUGGGAGGAAGGGUAGUAACUUAAUACGUUGCUACUUUGACGUUACCGACAGAAUAAGCACCGGCUAACUUCGUGCCAGCAGCCGCGGUAAUACAGAGUGUGCAAGCGUUAAGCGGAAUUCCUGGGCGUAAAGCGCGCGUAGGUGGUUCGUUAAGUUGGAUGUGAAAUCCCCGGGCUCAACCUGGGAACUGCAUUCAAAACUGUCGAGCUAGAGUAUGGUAGAGGGUGGUGGAAUUUCCUGUGUAGCGGUGAAAUGCGUAGAUAUAGGAAGGAACACCAGUGGCGAAGGCGACCACCUGGACUGAUACUGACACUGAGGUGCGAAAGCGUGGGGAGCAAAC
rnacentral:rRNA from 1 species